GAAAUUUUGCGAUUUCACUCGUCAUUCAGUCAAAGAUUUUCCAAUAUUGCGUGCACUGCAAUAAGCUCGGUCGAGACGUGUUUUAAAGUCAAUGUGAAAAAAGUGUAAAAUUCAAUUUUAUUUCACUCAUAUUUGAAAACAAAAGCAAAGCAAACCAACCGAAAACAUUUUAUUACAAUUCACUUUAUCACUAAGCGCAGAGAGACACCGAUAUCGAUGUCUCCGCAAUUAGAGAAUGCUUAAGUUACCAAAAGGCUUAAAAAAGAAAAAGAAGAAGUCGAAAAAGGACCAAGAACUCUUCACUGAAGAGGAGCUCGAACAAUAUAAGCGCGAGUUAAAAGCUAAGCAGGAGGCAGCAGCUGCUAAAUCGGACGCUGGUGAAUCGGACGCAGCAUCAGACGUUGAGGGUUUAGCACCAACUGCAGCAUCCACUUCCACCACAGCUCCUGCGCAUACUGAAACAACUGAGUCUAACGCGGAUACUAGCGCUAACGGCGGCGCAGCGCCUGCCGCAGCUACAAAGAGUGCCGAACAGAACGAAGAGUGGGCCAAGUUUAAGGCGCUUACAUCGGGAGUCGAUUCUAUUUUACAUAAAACUCAAGACGAGUUAGAUCGUAUUAAGAAAGAGUCUUUCUAUCAACGUUUACCGUCAGCGGCAGAGAAAAAACGACUCGAAGAAGAAGAAGCUGCACGUCGUGAAGCGGAACGUUUAGAAGAAGAACGUCGUAAAGCAGCUGAAUUUGAGGCACAGCGUGACAAAUUAGCCGAAGCUGUAGUUGAACUCUCCGAAUCGGAAGGGGAACAAGACGAGGAGGUCGAUGACAUCUUCGCUACUGACUAUAUAGAAGCGAUAACUAGAGGAGAAGUACAAUUAGCUGUUGUACCUGAGUCGCCGGUAUUAGAAUUUGACGACGGUCCUGAUCCUUUCGAUACAGCAUAUGCAGAAAAAGUUAUUGUUGGCGCAGAUAAGGCUAAAGGUAAUAAGAAACUCGUCAGUCUUGGUGCGGCGGUUGAAGUCCUCUCCGGACGUGUCGAUCGUGAGCACGCACUUGCCCUUGCGAAACCGAAGCGUAAGCUACGAAAAGGUAUACAGAACUUGUUGCUGAGCGAGAGUAUUGAUCUUGCCGAUCAGGAAGUUGAAAUAGUUGCUGCCGAACCACAGAAAAAUUUACUUGACGAGCUUGUGGAUGAUGUACCACAGUCAGAUGCACCAAUAGAUUUAAGUGUUUCAUUACAUUUGCAUUUGAUACAACAUAAAAAACCAGAAGAAGAAGAGGAGGAGGAGGCGGAAAACGACACCGGUUUACCGGAUUUGUCAGAAUUCGAUGCACUUAAAGACGAUGAUGAUGAUGAGUUUGCUGAAUUAGCAGCCGAAUCGUUAACUAAAAAAGAAGAAGUAAAAGUUAUAACUCAGAUACCACUUCCUCAAGCCGAAGUACUUUCGGAAGUUGUAGACGCAGAUUGGGCAGAAUUUGAACAAGUACCCGAAGAGGAAGCAACAAGUGAAGACAAAGCUAAACCAGCACGUCCUCCACCACCAGCUAGACCUGCCUCUGGGCCGCACUUAGUUACAGGUGCCAUAUACAUAAGUGACGACGAAGAAGACUACGCCGCUGACGAUCCAUUCAAUACUGCAUAUGCUGAGCAAGUCAUCAAAAAGACUACCGUACUAGAAGAAGACGACGACUUUGAUCCACGUGCCGAAGAAAAAUCUGCACCGCCUGUUAAACCACCACCACCAGCUGUAAACUUAUUAUCACAACCAACCCGUGAUUUGUUGGGUGGCAGCGCUACUGAUUUGUCUAAAGUUGGUCCCGCUCCCAUAGCACCUACACAGGAGGUUGAGGAAGACCCUGCUGAUUUUGAUCCGUUCGAUACCUCUGCAGUCAGUGCAAUCGUUCAACCCAAGGCGACGGAACUAAAGUUCUUGGAGCGUGAACUCCUACCUGAAAGUAAUCUUAAGCAUUCACUUAGUGAUCCAGACUUUGAUCCACGUGCAGACGAGCCGGCACCCACUCCAACAAGGGUUGUAGUAGCGCCAUCUCGUCCGGCCGCACCACCUGUGCAAAUUCAAAAUAAUAAUCCGACUAUUGAUUUUGAUACUGCACGACGCAAGUCUUCCCUAAGUUUGAAUAUCCAAUCAAAAAGUGUUGGCUUCUUGGUAUCUUCACAAGAUUUGCUCGGUGCCGCGAAUGACGGUCACGGUAACAAGAAACCAUUGACACCUUAUUACGCACCGACUGGAUCCAAAGAAACAAUUAGUGAAAAGGAGGCAGAAGAUCCAUUCGACACCUCAUACGUACCAGAAGCAAAACCCAGUGAGGUUGAACUGAAGCAUCUCGAAGAAGAUUUACUAACAAAAAACACACUAAAACAUAGUCUAUCCGAUCCCGAUUUCGAUCCACGUGCGCCACCCACACCUGUACCAGCAGAAGAGCUAUUAGCAGUAAAAGAAGACAUAAAGGCCAAGGUACUGACGCCGUCUCAAGAGAGUAAAGAUCUAACAGACGACGCUGUUGAGUAUAUAGACCCGUUUGACACAUCUAUUGCUUCUAAUUUGCAACCAGGCAGAGCAGAGCUAAAACUUUUGGAGAGUGAAUUGCUACCUCCUACAGUUCCACAAAUCACGACUGGUGUGCUUGAUACACAGACAGACGCACAAGAACUCGGUCUAGGCGACAAGGUGUUAACACCUUCGGUACCUGUAAAACAAAUUACACUUCCCGAAGAAGUUGACCCGUUUGAUACUUCAAUUGCGGAGAAUUUGGCACCAGGCGCAACCGAAAUUAAGUUAUUGGAAAGUGAAUUAAUUGAGCGUUAAAUUUAAUAAUCCGGUUGAUUAUAAAACUACUAUAAACCAUAAUGGCAAACCCAUUUUUGAUGGAUGAUGACUUGGAGGGCGUUGACGCCGACCCCACAGCGAACCCUUUCUUCACAAAAGCCGAUGCUGAAGAGGGUGUAGUAGAAACAGAGAAUCCUUUCUCAGGACAAUCGAAUCCAUUUGCAUUUGGCGAUGAACCUGAUGACGGUCCAGCACCUGCAUCGGAUAUUGAUCCUGCAAUGAGCUUCUUUGGCACAACUAUUGAGGCGGAGGAUGAUGCACUUAGCAUUAAGUCUACAGUUGAAGAAGAUGAUGAAACUUCUAAACGAGGUCCACCACCAAGACCAGUGCCACCACAAACGCAAGAACUCAUUAAUACAGUUUCUAACCAAAUGGAGGAGACAAGCUCCGAGUUACUCGGCCGAAUACCUGCUACUCGUUCUCCCAGUCCUGUUUCAAUGCGUGACUUACAUUCACCCAGUCCUACACCGGAUUCUGGCUUGGCUGACUUGUUAGACGUAUCAGAUAGUGGUUCGUCUGGUAAUAUGCAUGGAUUCGAUAUGGAUUUAGUCGGUAGUGGUACUAACAAUAGUGCAGAUAAUCCUUUCGGUGUGCCAACAGCCAUUCCUAGCUUACAUGGUGCAACACCUAUGCCAUCACCAGCAAAGCAGCAACCUCCGCGACCACCACCACCACGUCCAGUACCACCAAGGCCGUCACCACCAAAUGGUAUACCAGCACAACGCAAUCAACCGCCUCCACGACCAACUCCCCCAGCUCCAGAGCCAGUUACUCAGCCCGCUGCUGAGGUAGCAGAUAGUGAAGAUCUGUUCGAUAUGUUUGGUACAUCCAAACCACCUAAACCACCACCACCAAAGAGCAAGGAAGACAUACUUAGUCUAUUUGAAAAGCCAGCUCAACCAGUAUCCAAACCAGAUCUUUUAAGUGAUGAUCUUGUACUUGAGCCUUCCCCAGAAAUGCCAGAUGACGAACAGAAUAUAGAUGGAGAGGAUCCUAUUUUCAGUUCUAUGCUAACUCGACCUGAUGACAGCACACACGAUAUUACAUCUCAACCACAGGCAGCAGAUCUAAACAUAUCGUUGAUAAAUAAUGUGGAAAGAAAAGAACUGGUAGUCGAUGACACUAAACCACGUGCGCCAACUCCGGACAUUGAAAUAACAACUGUAGAAGAUCUUCCACGUUCUGACGAUGAAGAUGAGCCAGAGCCAGUAAAACCAGCACCACCGGUGGUCAUUGAAACCAAGCCAAGUCCCGACGAAGAGGAUGAAGAAGUGGAGAAAGAUGAAAAAGAGGUUGUACCUGCGGCUGCAGAACCCGCAGUCUUUGCAUCUAUCGAUUCUGAUCACAGUCCUCCUACGGAGUCACCAGCAACCACGCAGGCUCAGCCGCAGUCAUCUUUGGAGGCUACUAGCGAACAGCAGAAUAGUGAGUUUGAGCAAAUGGAUACGGGUCUGGAUUUCGCACCGGCUAGUGCUGUUCCCAGUGGCGCUGCCUCUGCAAAUCCAUUCGCUAGUCCCGACGAAGAAGAAGAGACUUAUCCACCGCCAUCUGCUGUGACGAAUAUAUUUGCAGUCGAAGAUAUUGACCCUACACUUGUGACCAACAUCUUUACUACAGCAACAGACACCAUGACAACAUCUGCUGUGCCAGUUAAUAUUUUUGCACCGGAUCUUGAACCAGAAGCUUUGGCUAUCACAGCAAAUUCAUACACUGCUAAUAACAUUUUUGCCAGCGAGCCAGAUGAAUUUGACGCUUUCUCGGCCAAAUUUGAUUCUGUUAAGAAGGAUAAUGUAAGCAUACUGGAUGGCUUUGGUGGUUCGGGUGCUGUGACUCCUUCAGGCGGUGACGCUUGGGGUGACAGUGCAUUUGGCUCACCCGCAGCGGCAACUAAUGUUUUUGGCGUGACCGAUGGUUUCGAGAAUGAGGAUGAUGACUUCUACGCAAUGAAAGCACCUGUUCGCGCCGAUUCGGUUGAGUCCGUAGACAAGGAAUUCAAUGUCGUUAUUCGGCCCAAAGGCGAAAGCACACAGGGAAUUGCACCACAAUUGGCACCGCCGCCGCCACCAGCGCGUAGCGCUGUCGGUCAAGUUUCCAGCGACACAUCGCCUGUUGUCAAUCCCUUCGAAGAUACUGGUUUCCCGGCACCAACGAUAAGUGAAGAAAACAAAGUAAAACGCACAGACUCACAGGAUACACCACAAACCCCGUUGUUCGAUGAAGAUGUCUCGCAGCCA